rnacentral:rRNA from 1 species
UGCAAGCGUUAUCCGGAUUUAUUGGGUUUAAAGGGUCCGUAGGCGGACUUGUAAGUCAGUGGUGAAAUCUCAUAGCUUAACUAUGAAACUGCCAUUGAUACUGCAGGUCUUGAGUAAAUUUGAAGUGGCUGGAAUAAGUAGUGUAGCGGUGAAAUGCAUAGAUAUUACUUAGAACACCAAUUGCGAAGGCAGGUCACUAAGAUUUAACUGACGCUGAUGGACGAAAGCGUGGGGAGCGAACAGGAUUAGAUACCCUGGUAGUCCAUGCCGUAAACGUUGGGCACUAGGUGUGGGGACCAUUCCACGGUUUCCGCGCCGCAGCUAACGCAUUAAGUGCCCCGCCUGGGGAGUACGGCCGCAAGGCUAAAACUCAAAGGAAUUGACGGGGACCCGCACAAGCGGCGGAGCAUGCGGAUUAAUUCGAUGCAACGCGAAGAACCUUACCUGGUCUUGACA